AGUAACGCGUGAGGAACCUGCCUCAAAGAGGGGGGAAACAGUCGGAAACGACUGCUAAUACCGCAUAAGCCCACAGCUCGGCAUCGAGCAGAGGGAAAAGGAGUGAUCCGCUUUGAGAUGGCCUCGCGUCCGAUUAGCUAGUUGGUGAGGUAAUGGCCCACCAAGGCGACGAUCGGUAGCCGGACUGAGAGGUUGAACGGCCACAUUGGGACUGAGACACGGCCCAG
rnacentral:rRNA from 1 species